AGUGAAUAGAUACCCGGGUAGUCCUAGCCGUAAACGAUACUCGCUAGGUGUCGGCCACGGUGCGACCGUUGUCGGUGCCGUAGGGAAAGCCGUGAAGCGAGCCACCUGGGAAGUACGGCCGCAAGGCUGAAACUUAAAGGAAUUGGCGGGGGAGCACCACAACGGGUGGAGCUUGCGGUUUAAUUGGAUUCAACGCCGGAAAUCUUACCGGGACCGACAGCAAUGUGAAGGCCAGGCUGAAGACUUUGCCGGAUUAGCUGAGAGGUGGUGCAUGGCCGUCGUCAGUUCGUACUGUGAAAGCAUCCUGUUAAGUCAGGCAACGAGCGAGACCCACGCCCACAGUUGCCAGCGUACUCUCUGGAGUGACGGGUACACUGUGGGGACCGCCGCUGCUAAAGCGGAGGAAGGAAUGGGCAACGGUAGGUCAGUAUGCCCCGAAUAUCCCGGGCUACACGCGAGCUACAAUGGUUGGUACAAUGGGUAUCUACCCCGAAAGGGACGGGAAUCUCCUAAAACCAAUCUUAGUUCGGAUUGAGGGCUGCAACUCGCCCUC
rnacentral:rRNA from 1 species